AAUGCGAUUGGGCGUGAAACUAAUGCCUAAUGCGAACGCGUGUAUGGACCACGAACGCGAUGAGAAAAGCGGGUCUAGGUAUAUUAAACGUUAAAAAUUGAGAAAAGACACCAUUUUGUGUCCAAAAUCAGUUGCCAAACGCCCAACGUCACAGUCCAAAUCCCUUCAUCCCAACGUCAUCUCCAACUUUUCAUUUCUUAAAGUCUACAACAAUCUUUAAACUUGCAACUUCAAUGGUACUUUGGGCAUAAAAGGGACCCUUCAACCAUGAAAUGUUCCUAUCUGGGGCAUGUCAACGAAAAUACGAUGAACUCUUGUCCAAAACCAUCGUCAGAAAAAGAGGCAUAAACAUGGACAAGGUUGAACGUAAAAUGCCGGACUUCUACAGAAUAUUGGUAGAAAGUGGGUGGAUUUGCUUUGCCCCUCCACCAGAUGUUGCCAACUACACCAUGGUACUCGAGUUUUAUGCAAAUGCCACCAGAACCAACUUCCAAGAAGCCUUAGUUACCAUUGUCUAGGGUGUGCAAGUUAGUUUCAACCCGAAGAUAAUCAAUGCAAUCUAUGGUCUUCCUGAUACUGAUAAUGAGGUGUACAAAGAGAGGUUUAAAGAGAGAGAAAACCAAUGGUUGGUUGACAAAUUGCAUACCGGGGUGACUCCGAAUUGGGUGAUAGUGCACAAAGGGGUUGAUUCCCAUGACUUCACUGCUGAGGCAAAGACUUAGCUCUCCAUUAUCUGUGCUAGGAUCAUGCCUUCCACAAAUGACACUGAUGUGACACCAGAGAGAGCACUGGUAAUUGCUGCGAUCAUAGAUGGCAUGCUUGUGAACGUGGGAGCACACAUUGUUCGAGAGAUCGAGAAAGAGACUAUGGGGAGGUCUAGGAACUUAUUCUUUCCAUCACUGGUCACUCGAUUAUGUUAUGAUGCCGGGGUAUUGAAACACCCAAAUGAUGAAAAAAGAGAACCAGGAAAGCCGAUGAUCCAUCCCCUUCUGAAAAGGGGAUCUAAGGACAAGAAAAAAAGGAAGGUCAAUGUAUCCUCGUCUUCAUUUAGGCAGUUCACAGACACCACCACUGAGUCCGGAGGACCCUUCAUAGCUGCAGCAGAGUCAUAUGACCCCGGGGGACUACUCAUGUCCGGUCCUCCUACCUUGCGUCACCUCUUCAGUCAGAUAUAUGGAGUAGAUGCACACAUUUAGCAGCUUAUAGUUGGCCUUCCUACUGGCCUGUCUGGGGCAAGAGCAUCUACUGGCACUGAUGCCCAUCACCUCUGGAGAGUAUUGUUGCAGAGCAAAAAGAAAUAACCACCAAGAUAGGUAUCAUGGAUACGAGGAUGGAGAAUAUAAGCUGCAGGCAAGGAAAGAUUGAAAAACGGCAAAGGAAGUUCAGGGAGUAUGAAAAGAAAAAGGGCAAGUUCAUGAAAAAAAUGAUGGAUAAGCUGAUGUUAUUGUGUAAUACUAAUGGUUGAGAUGAUGAUGAUGAUGAGGAGGAGGAGCUUAAGUUUCCCUCCACCUCUAGCUCCGGCUGAGGCACUUUUCAGAAGUGUUUUGCCUUUCCCGUCGCCUACUAGUCUGAUGUAGACUUCAGGGAGUCCCUCAAACUGGUUUAUGUUUUGUUUUGAUAUUGUGCAGUGAUGACACUGCAAUGUUUUUAGUUGGGGGUGGCAUAGAGCACAUUAUAUUGUUUACGCUUGUUUUGUGCCUUUGCCGGGCUUUUAUCUUAUGCAUGGAUAUUGUGUGCCCUUGUCACGCUUGUUUUAUGACUGUUUGGUGUGGCUGUGGAUAGAUGUUGUUGCAAAUGGAACAUGGCCAAAUUUUUGAAAAUUUUGUUUUUUUGGCAUGUUGUGGAUUAGUCAUUUUUAUUAUUUUAUUUUCUUUCUUAGCUUCUUUAAUUAGUCUUGUAGUUUAGGUGUAGGUGCUCUUUUGAGGAAAAAUGUGAAAACUCUUGACUUGUUUGGUACAACCCUAAUAGAGUUAGUCUCUUGCAUGCAAAGUGUUCAAUUGAGCAUACCCCUCCGAUUUUUUUUAAGUGAAAUGAAAAGCAAGAUGCAUGAAGAGAAUGAUCUUUGUGACACUUUUUGGCUAAUUUUGUGACUCUUUACCUACUAGACGGGCUUACUUUGAAUGAUGAGAUAUUGCUCUAUUUGUUCUUGCCUAGGAAGUAAAAUUGAUCCAUCUUGACUAGUUCGUAUGCCAUGUGUGGUGAGUGCUUGUUGAAUAAUUCGCGUGCGUAUUUUUAUCAUCUAGAACUUGUCCGGUUAAUCUUUCAAUGCUAAUUUUGAUUAUGUUGGUUGGAGAGAUAACCUUGGGCUAUCUUAGUGAUUUUUGAAAAAUCCACUUUAGCCUUUCUAGCCUACCAUUGCAUAAAUAAUAUCACUAGUAACCCCAUUUGACCCUAUGAUCUUUUCUUUGAUUGCUACAUUACAAGCCUUUACCCUUUUUGAUGAAAAGUCUCUCUUUUGAACCUUGCCCUCCUUAAACAUGAAAUUGUGAAUUUGAGGCCAAAAGCCUAAGUUGGGGGUGUUAGUGUUGCUUGAGAAGUGGUGAAGAUUGGUGUUGUGGAAAAGUCAAAAGAAAUGAAGAAAAUUUGGAAAAAUACAAAAAGGUUUCAAACUUUUUGUGCAAAAAAAUGUAUCUUUGUGAAAGAGGAAUUGGAAAAGAACAAAAACAUUAGAAAUCAAGAAAAUGUUUGCACAAAAAGAAGUUGGAGUAAUUGGGGAAACUAGUAUGCAAAGUAAGGAGUGAUGUUUUGAAAUGAAGAGGAAAGCGGACAAAAGGUGUUGUGUAGUGUUCAAGGAGGGCGUAGUUACUUGUAUCCCAAAUACUUAUCCUACCCUUCCCUAAGCCUAUAUCACAAGCUUAAAAAGUCCCUAUGUGAUCUCCAACCGAAUGUUCUUGAGUUAGUGAUGAUUGAAAAUAAGGGCAAGCUUAUGGUGUGA